GAUGGUCGUUCAGUACGGUCGUCUGGCAUUGUUUUGGUUUUGCAAGUAGUGGAGAACGGUCAUAUUUCGUUUUUCGUAAACAUAUUAUUCUUCGCGUUAAACAAAAUCGAUUUUCGAAUUUCAAAAUCGAUUACACAAUUGAGAUUUGCCAAUUUUUCCUUUGCCAAAGAAACCAUUCUAUAAUUCACAAAACUAUCAAACGGGUUAACGGAAAGGAUAAAUAAUAAUAAAACAAUCGAAAGAAUAUAACUAACCAAAACGUCCCAUUUCGCUUCAGCAAGCACGACUCGCCAAUCAGAAAAAAGUGUAUUCAUUUCGGCUUUCUUUACCUCACUGAAAAAAAAAAAUCUCAAAACAGAAGAGGCGGAAGAGAACAACAGCAAAACCUAUAAUUAGUGAAUAUGUUUGACCGUGGUCCAGCUAAGGCGUAACUAAACCCCUACGAAUGCUACUGGCUACGAAGUUGAACAAGUACAAGUACCAUAAUACAACAGCCACAACAAGUUGUGAAUGCACUGUUGAUGCAUCAGUAGUGCCAAUAAUAUCUCACAACUACUGCUUCUUCAACGACAACAGCAGUUGCAGCGAGCAGCAUCAUCAAAAGCAACGACACCAGUUACAAGUCGCGCAUCGCUCCUUAUCUAA
rnacentral:sRNA from 1 species